AUGUCCAUGUGGAGGCAGCAUUACCACCGCGGCCACACGGGACAUGACAAGGAGCACUUCUUUGCCGUGGCUUCGGGUGAUUUCACCCGCAGUAUGUGCAUACCGUGGGAGGUUGGAAACCAUUUGGGGAGCAUGAUCUCUGAGACCAUCAAACUAGAAGCUCCUAAUGGCAUAUUCUGUAUUGGAGUGUGUAGAAAGCCGGGUGAACUAGUUCUUCAGUCUGGCUGGGAUAAGUUUGUCGCAAUGCAUCACGUAGAAGAAAAUUAUUCUUUUUGGUUUGUGUACCGUGGGAACUCUACCUUUAAGGUUCAUAUAUUCAAUCCCAACGGUCGUGAGAAGGCUAGUUCCUGUUCUCAACCACCUUCUCAGAGCUUUGGAGGUGUUCCACCUGGCGCUAUUUGCGAUCAUCAUGUGCUGAAUGAACAACUACUGUCUGAUCCUGGACAUGUUCAGACCUCCACUGACUCUGGCUAUAGCACAUUACCUGGCUGCCAUCUAACCAAAGCACAAGAUGAGAAAGUACGUGAAAUAGCUUGUACCAUGAGAUCUCAAGUUCCCCUUUAUGUGGCAGUCAUGAACAAAAGCAAUGUCAACUUGAAGGACUGCUCUGUUAACUUACCGUUAAAGCUUGUGGAACAUUUCAAAGAGGACACAUCUAAAGCUACUAUUCAACUAGAAGCCCCUAAUGACAAUAUAUACGGUGUUGAAGCUUGCAAGCACGGUGAUGACCAAAUAGUCCUCCAAUAUGGGUGGAGUAAUCUUGUAGAUGCUAAUCGCAUACAAGAGAAUGACUUGCUUAUUUUUAUAACCAAGGGUAAAAAACGCCUUGAAGUUCGUAUUCUUGGCACAAGUGUUCAUCAGAGAACCUCUUCAUGCUUUAAUACGGGAAAUAUUUCUAGCACUCAAGAAAUUUGUGAAGAUUCACUUGAAAUAACCGAUCCAACCCCUCAUACAGACUACUAUGUGAGUAGUUCUGAUGAUGAUCACAUUGUGGAAGAAGGCACUAGAAAAUCAUGCUACUAUGUGAGUAGUUCAGAUGAUGAUCACAUUGUGGAAGAAGGCUACUAUGUGAGUAGUUCUGAUGAUGAUCACAUUGUGGAAGAAGGCACUAGAAAAUCAUGCUACUAUGUGAGUAGUUCUGAUGAUGAUCACAUCGUGGAAGAAGGCACUAGAAAAUCAUGCUACUAUGUGAGUUGUUCUGAUGCUCAUGAUAUUGUGGAAGAAGGCACUAGAAAAUCAUGUAGGCGGCAGAAGCAGGCACCUAGUCACUGUGCAAAAGCUCAAAAGGUGGCUUCAACAUCCUCCCCAUCUGCUGCUAAAUCAGGAUAUGAAGCUCACACGCUGAAUGAGCGAGCAUCUGUGGAGUUUGGGGUCGAUUUGGAACCUCAUAGCUCCACCAGCAAUCUCAAGGGGCCUUCCCAGCAUCCCUACAUUUUAUCUGAAAAAGGGACACCUCUAACUAAUGUGGAGAAGAAGAAAGUUGAGGAGAAAGUUCAAGCGAUUCAAUCUGAACUUCCUAUCUUUGUGGCACUAAUGACCAAAAGCCGGAUUAAUACCCAUCAUUUGGACGUCUGCAAGGAAUACGGUUCAAGAUACAUUCCACACAUAAGCAGAAGAAUGCGUCUCGUGCUUCAGUCGGAAGGAAGCACGACGGAGCAGCCAGCCAAAGUGGUAAUAAAUCAGAAUGGUAUGAGGUGGAUUCGUAGUGGCUGGAAGAAAUUCGUCGCCGACAAUGAUGUGCAGGAGGGGGAUAUCGCUCUCUUUGAACGGGCAAAGAGCACGAAAAAGCUCAGGAUGACCGUGUAUUUCGUCCGCAAGUCAGACAUAGAGGUGUAG
rnacentral:rRNA from 1 species